rnacentral:rRNA from 1 species
UACGGGGGGAGCAAGCGUUGUUCGGAUUUACUGGGCGUAAAGGGCGCGUAGGCGGCCCGGUCAGUCAGCUGUGAAAGUCAAGGGCUCAACCCUUGAAAGCCGGUUGAUACUGUCGGGCUAGAGUCCGGAAGAGGCGAGUGGAAUUCCUGGUGUAGCGGUGAAAUGCGCAGAUAUCAGGAGGAACACCGAUGGCGAAGGCAGGUCUCUGGGCAUUAACUGACGCUGAGGAGCGAAAGCAUGGGGAGCGAACAGG